rnacentral:rRNA from 1 species
GUGCCGCGUGUGUGAAGAAGGCCUUCGGGUUGUAAAGCACUUUCAGUAGGGAGGAAGGUAGUGUAGUUAACACCUGCAUUAUUUGACGUUACCUACAGAAGAAGCACCGGCUAACUCCGUGCCAGCAGCCGCGGUAAUACGGAGGGUGCGAGCGUUAAUCGGAAUUACUGGGCGUAAAGCGCAUGCAGGCGGCCUGUUAAGUCAGAUGUGAAAGCCCGGGGCUUAACCUCGGAAUUGCAUUUGAAACUGGCAGGCUAGAGUCUUGUAGAGGGGGGUAGGAAUUUCAGGUGUAGCGGUGAAAUGCGUAGAGAUCUGAAGGAAUACCAGUGGCGAAGGCGGCCCCCUGGACAAAGACUGACGCUCAGAUGCGAAAGCGUGGGGAGCAAACAGGAUUAGAUACCCUGGUAG